GACGUUACGCUGUAUGGCUUUGCUUGAUCAUCUAGUCAGUCAACGAGACGUAUGUAAUUUGAAGUGGCUAUAAAUGAAAGUUGCAAUUAUGCAGAUAGGAGUAGACAUCAGCAAGCCAACCUCACCUGUGCCGUUGUUUCUGGGCAAAUGCACAGAAAAUAUAGAAAUCCGCUGUCUGUGGGGUUUCUAGCAGUAAAUUUUCAGUCAUCUCAAGUGUGGGAACGAAUGUUCAGAUUUCGGCGGAGACUGUCCAGACUUCUUCCUCGUAUCAUACAAGUCCCCUGCCUAGUCCCAGUGGGAGUUAGGAGUUUACCGACCACGUUCUAAAAAUACGAAAAUGUAAACAUGGGAAGUCACGUAGCCUUACAUCCAGAAUUUACACCGAAAGAGGAGAGGUACGAAAGCAAUUAAAAGAGGGACAGUCCCUCUCUUACAAAGAAUGUAAGAUGGAAGGCUAAAUGGGGGCUUAGUCAAAAUAUCGAUGCCGCACAUACGGCAGAUGGAAGUGGUCCGUUUGAAUAAUCUUGCAGGUUCCCCCUCUAACUUCAAUUGGUUGAAGGAGCAUUUGUCUACCAGAUUCAGCCCCUCAUUGGCUACAAAGUCAAUUUAUUAGUGAAUAACAAGAGUAUUUACUUUUUAUAACACGUUUUCGGCACGAAAACUUAAUUCUUAAAAAAUUGGUGAAUAUAGUAAUUUUUUUAAAGUAUAAUAUCAUUUAUCACGUGUACUGAAAUUAAUAUGAUAACAUGUUAAUUUCUUUUUAUUUAAUAUGCACUAUAAUUGUAUGUCUUGCCUGCACAAUCAUACACAUGAGUUUGUGUACUUAUGAAUAGUCUAGAAUUUUUAACAAUUGGGAAAUUCUUGUGCA